UGGUAGAUGCACCCUGAUAACUAAUUCCCCUAGCUGGUUUACACCGACUGGGGGAUUUUUUU
rfam:Nostoc sp. PCC 7107, complete genome.